rnacentral:lncRNA from 1 species
GGCUGCCAAUAAUAUGAAAUAUGAAAGACAUGCUCUUUCCCUUUGUCUCUCUGUCUCUCUUGCUUUAGAGAUACAGAAGACUGCAUUGAAGAGAGUCUGCAGUUCUUUCCCUGGUAGCAAAGAGGAGCUGCUCCAGCUGAGAAUUGGUGUACUAGAGGCUACCAGUUUUGCUGAAGUAAUAAUUUGGUCAUAUCAGAGGAUGGAAAAUAGGAUCUUCAAAGCACUAGUCAUAAGGAAUUACUGAGUAAGCCCAUUGUGUGGUUUUUGUUUUUGUUUUUGUCUUUUUCCUGCUAAGAGAUCAAACAUCAUACCUGGAUAUUAUCUCAUAAAUACCACACACACAAUACUUAUGAGACAGGUAAGGGAGGACUGCUAGCACAUGCAAAAAUCAGAGACACUGGAAGUUAGGAAAUGUUACCUGUGAUGACAGAUGCAUUUUUCUAGCAUAAUGAGCUACUGGGAAUGCAGUAGUUUUGCUCUACUAAACAGUUCUUCAAAAGAUUGGUGAUGGUUUUUGUUCUAAAAUCCUGCAGAAGAGAGGGGCCUGGGAAUGGUGUGUUUGAUGGUUUAAUUUUGGAGACUAGGUUCAGAUUUUUGAGCAGCUUUUAUAGCAAGCUAACACUGUAUCGUGUCUACUUGAAAUGCUAAUGUAAAUGUAAAGAUACAGAAACCUUAUUUUCAAAAUUAUUUAAAGCAAGUCUAUUUAGGCAGGUGCACAAAGAGACUGGUUUGUACGAGGUAUGCUCCAAAAUGGCCAACACAAAUCAGUUCUACACAGGAACCAUACAGGUAUGGCUAAGCUAUUACGCCCCACUGUGCUUCCUUGAAUGUCAGGAUCAGCCCAAGUGCUUUAGCCAAGUGCAGUAUCACUGAAGUGUACCUUACCUCCUGCAGAAGUAAUCGCUACUAGGCAUCAAACAGUACGUGGGUAUUAAUUGUACAAAAAGGCGUUCGCAUUCAUAUUAUCAAAACCAUUUUUUCUAACUUGUAUUUUUAGGAAUGCAAUUUGGAAGAUGUGCGUAUGUGAAAUGACUGCAAGAAUCCCACGAAGCUCAACAAGGAGAAGUACAGAGUCCUACGAGUCCUGGUGGACGUGAGGUUGAACACAAGUAAGCAAUGUGCCCACAGUACUCUUGGCUGCACUAGGCAAAGUAUCUGCAGCAGGUGAAGAGAGGAGCUCCUUCCUCUCUACUCAGACCUGGUGAGGCCACACCUGGAGUGCUGUGUCCAGUUCUGGGCUCCCC